rnacentral:tRNA from 1 species
GGAGAGAUGGCUGAGCGGACGAAAGCGACGGUCUUGAAAACCGUUGUGGCGGCAACGUCACCGUGGGUUCGAAUCCCACUCUCUCCGCCA